CUUUUGUUUAGUUUGGCAGCGUUAACUUUCUUUGUCCUCGCACCUCACACAAAGACUCCACAUCGAACAUGAAAGCCCAAUAUAGGCGGCAGUAAUCUCAGAGCAAACUCAACGAGAGAGACUGCAUAGUGCUAAAGGGACUCUUUUUUUAAAAAUAGUACGGCUUGAAGUUCAAUAUAUCCAGACGUUGCCUCGAACACACCAUGUGCUAACAUGCCGAGAAAACCCCAACCAAAUUCCUACCUCGGCAACGGUACGCUAAACACACGCUCAAGGGUUUGUUAGAUCUCGCCAGAUUCCACCCACGACACGGCUCCCUUAUCGCUCUUUCCGCAGAUGCUGUUUGCGAAAUCGCGAUGGGAGCUUCGGGUGAUAAUAGGCGGUGAGGUGUUAACGUAAUUGACACUGGGGACAUGAAGAAGUGGGAGACUUGAUGAAGUGUUGGCCCCUCCUUUGCCUGGAAAACCCAUGAUCAACCCCCAAGUUGCCAGAUUUUCCCUGAUGGAUUUCACUUGUCACGCGCUGCAAAUUUGUUUCUUUAAAUGGCCGAUGUUUUACACGCUUGGCUACAACGAUUACAUCUAGCUUUUUUCAAACUAUUAUGUCCGACCACAUGUUUACGUAACACAUUUAGAUCAUUUGAUUAUGAUGAAUGUAAUCAAGAGCGAUACGGAUGUAUUUUAUGUAUUUGUAAUGUUGGCUUUUUAAACAUUACAUUUGAUUUUCUGCAAUCCAAAAAUUUUCAAAAAAUUAGAGAUUACGCCUACAUGGCUGGCGGAUUUAAUAAACGUCAAGCACUGCGUAGUAUUUCCAGUGACUAGCUCUAGAGAAAUGAAAUUUGACCAUUCAAAAUGGACUUCGAAGUGGUAUAUGUAUAAACAUCCGCCACCUCAGCUUGCAGACCAAAGGCUGGGCUGCGAUUAUAAUCAGAAUGCCAUCCGUCAUAAUUACUGGCACCAUGAGUGCCUCCCGACCACGCUUGACGAUAGAAUUUGACACGUUCUGGUCAUUAAAGAGACUGUCAUCAAUCCAACCGUCUAUAUUAUAGACGGAAUCAUCGUAUACAUAACUACAAAUAUAUUACACAAAAACACUACACACAUACACUACAAAUACACUAUUACCUUUGUAAAAAUAUCUAUACACAUUUUCCACAGAGGGGUUGAUUUAACAAAAUGUUCAGGAUAGCGUUGGCGUAAAAAUAAGUCUGAACCGUCUGACAGGAUAUAAGGGUAGGAUAGCAUUGACUCGAACACUGUAUACAAAUGCCAAAUCGCUAUCAACUCCAAGAAUCACUCGUAAAAUAAAUAAACUUUUGUGCUCGCGCAAUUACG